rnacentral:rRNA from 1 species
AUGAGUAGGGCGGGACACGUGGUAUCCUGUCUGAAUAUGGGGGGACCAUCCUCCAAGGCUAAAUACUCCUGACUGACCGAUAGUGAACCAGUACCGUGAGGGAAAGGCGAAAAGAACCCCGGCGAGGGGAGUGAAAAAGAACCUGAAACCGUGUACGUACAAGCAGUGGGAGCCUCUUAAUGGGGUGACUGCGUACCUUUUGUAUAAUGGGUCAGCGACUUAUAUUCUGUAGCAAGGUUAACCGAAUAGGGGAGCCGAAGGGAAACCGAGUCUUAACUGGGCGUUAAGUUGCAGGGUAUAGACCCGAAACCCGGUGAUCUAGCCAUGGGCAGGUUGAAGGUUGGGUAACACUAACUGGAGGACCGAACCGACUAAUGUUGAAAAAUUAGCGGAUGACUUGUGGCUGGGGGUGAAAGGCCAAUCAAACCGGGAGAUAGCUGGUUCUCCCCGAAAGCUAUUUAGGUAGCGCCUCGUGAAUUCAUCUCCGGGGGUAGAGCACUGUUUCGGCAAGGGGGUCAUCCCGACUUACCAACCCGAUGCAAACUGCGAAUACCGGAGAAUGUUAUCACGGGAGACACACGGCGGGUGCUAACGUCCGUCGUGAAGAGGGAAACAACCCAGACCGCCAGCUAAGGUCCCAAAGUCAUGGUUAAGUGGGAAACGAUGUGGGAAGGCCCAGACAGCCAGGAUGUUGGCUUAGAAGCAGCCAUCAUUUAAAGAAAGCGUAAUAGCUCACUGGUCGAGUCGGCCUGCGCGGAAGAUGUAACGGGGCUAAACCAUGCACCGAAGCUGCGGCAGCGACACUAUGUGUUGUUGGGUAGGGGAGCGUUCUGUAAGCCUGUGAAGGUGGCCUGUGAGGGUUGCUGGAGGUAUCAGAAGUGCGAAUGCUGACAUAAGUAACGAUAAAGCGGGUGAAAAGCCCGCUCGCCGGAAGACCAAGGGUUCCUGUCCAACGUUAAUCGGGGCAGGGUGAGUCGACCCCUAAGGCGAGGCCGAAAGGCGUAGUCGAUGGGAAACAGGUUAAUAUUCCUGUACUUGGUGUUACUGCGAAGGGGGGACGGAGAAGGCUAUGUUGGCCGGGCGACGGUUGUCCCGGUUUAAGCGUGUAGGCUGGUUUUCCAGGCAAAUCCGGAAAACCAAGGCUGAGGCGUGAUGACGAGGCACUACGGUGCUGAAGCGACAAAUGCCCUGCUUCCAGGAAAAGCCUCUAAGCAUCAGGUAACAUCAAAUCGUACCCCAAACCGACACAGGUGGUCAGGUAGAGAAUACCAAGGCGCUUGAGAGAACUCGGGUGAAGGAACUAGGCAAAAUGGUGCCGUAACUUCGGGAGAAGGCACGCUGAUAUGUAGGUGAAGCGACUUGCUCGUGGAGCUGAAAUCAGUCGAAGAUACCAGCUGGCUGCAACUGUUUAUUAAAAACACAGCACUGUGCAAACACGAAAGUGGACGUAUACGGUGUGACGCCUGCCCGGUGCCGGAAGGUUAAUUGAUGGGGUUAGCGGUAACGCGAAGCUCUUGAUCGAAGCCCCGGUAAACGGCGGCCGUAACUAUAACGGUCCUAAGGUAGCGAAAUUCCUUGUCGGGUAAGUUCCGACCUGCACGAAUGGCGUAAUGAUGGCCAGGCUGUCUCCACCCGAGACUCAGUGAAAUUGAACUCGCUGUGAAGAUGCAGUGUACCCGCGGCAAGACGGAAAGACCCCGUGAACCUUUACUAUAGCUUGACACUGAACAUUGAGCCUUGAUGUGUAGGAUAGGUGGGAGGCUUUGAAGUGUGGACGCCAGUCUGCAUGGAGCCGACCUUGAAAUACCACCCUUUAAUGUUUGAUGUUCUAACGUUGGCCCGUAAUCCGGGUUGCGGACAGUGUCUGGUGGGUAGUUUGACUGGGGCGGUCUCCUCCUAAAGAGUAACGGAGGAGCACGAAGGUUGGCUAAUCCUGGUCGGACAUCAGGAGGUUAGUGCAAUGGCAUAAGCCAGCUUGACUGCGAGCGUGACGGCGCGAGCAGGUGCGAAAGCAGGUCAUAGUGAUCCGGUGGUUCUGAAUGGAAGGGCCAUCGCUCAACGGAUAAAAGGUACUCCGGGGAUAACAGGCUGAUACCGCCCAAGAGUUCAUAUCGACGGCGGUGUUUGGCACCUCGAUGUCGGCUCAUCACAUCCUGGGGCUGAAGUAGGUCCCAAGGGUAUGGCUGUUCGCCAUUUAAAGUGGUACGCGAGCUGGGUUUAGAACGUCGUGAGACAGUUCGGUCCCUAUCUGCCGUGGGCGCUGGAGAACUGAGGGGGGCUGCUCCUAGUACGAGAGGACCGGAGUGGACGCAUCACUGGUGUUCGGGUUGUCAUGCCAAUGGCACUGCCCGGUAGCUAAAUGCGGAAGAGAUAAGUGCUGAAAGCAUCUAAGCACGAAACUUGCCCCGAGAUGAGUUCUCCCUGAGACUUAGAGUC